CCAAUUUCAGAAAAGCUCGCCGAAUGGGCGUUUACAUCAAACGCAUGUAGUAAAUGACGUAGCUGUCACUCUAGUUAUCAGUGAGAGGAUCACGCGUGUAGUUUGCUCCGCCCAAAAGUGUAUUUCUAUCGAUCGCAGUGGUUUAAAAUGUACAAAAAAACGAUGUAAAGGGUUAGGUACAAAAGUAAAAUAUUGCGGGAAUUUAUUUCAAGAUAAUCCUGCAUAAUGCGUACAUACUUGUGCAUGACACGUCCGCAGCAUAUACACAUAAAAUUAUUUAGGUUAAAGAUUUGAACUGUCUAAGGAUUGACACUGAUGUACUCUAAACGAAAUACAACAAAACUUAUUAUUUCUUAGUUCGAUUCUUUCAAACCAAAUCAUUCGGAGAAGUAACAACAAACACUGUGAUGUAUUGAGUUGCAAUAUAGCCCCAAGGUAAUUUUAUGACGGAUAUCUUUCAACACCCCUGGGCUUAUCAAGGAUACAUACAAUACUCCAACACCACUCAUUGAGUACACUCAAAUAAAUUGCCUAACGGUCACGUCUUUACUCAGGAAAGAUUCCAUUUGUAUGCAUAAAGGUGAGUGACAGUCGAGCCAACUCUCAAGAGUGAGUGACUGUUGAGGGGGGUCCUGUGGACCCUUGAGUGUUUCUCAAGGUCUCAUAAUGUUAGUUUAGAUGAUAAAUUUUCAAUAUCUAAUUAAUUUGAACGUAAGAUAACAGUCAUGUUAAAGCGGAAGUUCAUAUUUGUGCAAGGUAUUUUGGAAAAAUAU
rnacentral:lncRNA from 1 species